UAAUAAUGAUAGUAUUGGUAGAAUAAAAUAAAAAUUUUGAUGAAUUUAAAUGUAUGGGUAAAUUAUAAUAAGGAAUUAGGCAAAAUUUUUAAAUUCACUUGUUUAAUAAAAACAUGGUUUUUUGAUAAUAAUUUAAGAUUGGUCCUGCUCAAUGAAAAAUAGUUUUUAAGUAGCUGCAGUAAUAUGACUGUACUAAGGUAGCAUAAUCAAUAGUUUUUUAAAUGAAAACUGGGAUGAAAAGAUUGAUGAAAUUUAAACUUUUUAAUUAUAAAUUUUUGAAUUUAUUGAUUAAGUAAGAAUACUUAGAUAGUAUUAUGGGACGAGAAGACCCUAUAGAAUUUUAUAUGUAAUUUUAUAGUUAUAUUUUUGUAAUAAUAUAAAAUUGUAUAUUUUAUUGGGAGGAGUUAAAUAUAGAAAAUAUAGUUAAAUAUAGAAAACUUUAAUUAAAAUUUUAAAUAUAAAUUAAUAAAUUUUAGAAUGGUUAAUAAAUUAAUAAAGAAUUAAUUACCUUAGGUAUAACAGCGUAAUAUUUUUAGAGAGUUCAUAUUAAUAAAAGUGUUUGCGACCUCGAUGUUGAAUUAAGAUAAAAAUUAAGUGGAGAAGCUUAAUAUUUAAGUCUGUUCGACUUUUAAAAUCUUACAUGAUUUGAGUUUAAAUCGGCGUGAGCCAGAUUGGUUUCUAUCUAUAAUAAGUGUGGGGAUAUUUGUACGAAAGGACUGUAUUCAAAAAUUAAAUUUUAGUUAAAAUUAAUUAUAAAUAAAAUUUAAAAAAUUACUUUGGCAGAAUAGUGCGUUAAAUUUAGAAUUUAAGAUUAAAUAUAUAGUAUUAGGAUAGAUAUAUAAGUAAUAAUUAUAAAUUAUGUAUAUUAUUUAGUAUUAAAUUUAGUAAGAAUUGUAUUAAUAUUGGUAGUAGUGUUAGUGGGGGUUGCAUUUUUAACAUUGUUGAAGCGUAAAAUUUUAGGUUAUGUACAAUUACGUAAAGGUCCUAAUAAAGUUGGGAUGAUGGAGAUCUUACAGCCUUUUAGGGAUGCAAUUAAGUUAUUUAGAAAGGAGUUAUUUUAUAUUAUAAAGUCAAGAUAUUAUUUAUAUUAUUUUAGGGCUGUGAUUUUGUUUUUUUUAAUAUUAAUUAAUUGAUUAAUGAGGGGUUAUAUUACUAAUAUUUAUUUUUUAAAUUAUUCUUUAUUAGUUAUUAUUAUAAUUUUAACUAUUAUGAGAUAUAUGUUUUUAAUGAUAGGUUGGUCAUCUAAUUCUAUAUAUUCAUUAAUUGGUUCGAUUCGUGUAAUUUCUCAGGUUUUAUCUUAUGAGGUUAGUUUUAUUAUAAUUAUUUUAAUUUUAAUAAUUUUAAGAGAGAGUUAUUCUUUUGUAGAUUUUAUUAAAUGGCAAAUUUAUUUUUGAUAUGUAUUUAUGUUGUUUCCUUUAUUUUUAGUGUUUUUUAUUAGUAUAUUGGCUGAGUUAAAUCGAACUCCUAUAGAUUUUGUUGAGGGUGAGUCAGAGUUAGUUUCUGGGUUUAACAUUGAGUAUUUUAGAGGGGGGUUUGCGUUAAUUUUUAUGGCGGAAUAUGGGAUGAUUAUUUUUUUUAGUUAUUUAGUUUUAGUUAUAUUUACUAAUUUAAUGUAUUCUUUAUAUAUAUAUAUGUAUAUAUUAAUAUUAUAUUAUCGUUAAUUAUUUUUAUACGAGGUAUACUUCCCCGCAUGCGGUAUGAUGAGUUAAUAUAUUUGUGUUGAAAAAUUAUUUUACCUUUUAUUUUAAAUUAGGGAUCUAAGUAUAAGUAUAAUUAAAAUAAUUAAAUAAUUAGAGGAGUAGGAAAAUAAAAAAAUUCUAUAUCAUUUUAUAAGAAAAAAGGAAAAAGGAGGAAGACCUGCUAUGUUGAAUAUAAAAAUUAGGGGGAGAAAAUUUAAGUAUGUUUGGUGGUAGUUAUAGGAGAGGAGAUUAUUAUGAAAAAAUAUUUUAAAAUAGUAAAUUAGGUUGAAUAAUCCUAGUGAAAUAAAAGUGUAAAAUAUAAAAUAUUUAAAUCAAAUGAAAAUUUUUAAAUAGAUUAAAAAUAUUAUUCAUCCUGAUUGAUUAAUGGAGGAGUAUGAGAAAAAUAUUUUAAAAUUAGUUAGGUUUAAUAUUAGAUAAGGAGGAAGAAUGGAGCAUAGGAAGAUGAUAGAGUAUAUUAUAAUUAAAUUUAAUUUAAUUAGAGAAAUUAUAUAAAAUGGGAUAAUUUUUAUUAUAGUUAAUAGAAGUAGGAGGGAGUGUCAAUUUAUGAAUUUGGAAAUUAGAGGUAGUCAAAGAUGAAAUGGGGGGAUACUUAAUUUUAUUAGGAGGGCAGAGAUUAUAAAAAAAUUUCUAAUGUCAGAAUAUAUAAAUAGAUUGUUUAAGAUUAGGGAAUAAAUAAUUAAAAAAGAAAUGAUAGUUUGGAUAAAAAAAUAAAAGAAAAUUAUUUUUUUAUUUUUAAUGGAGAAAUUAAGAAUGAAGAUAAAGAGAAAAUUAUUAAUUUCUAUAAAAAAUCAAAUUAUCAAUAAAUCUGUGGAAAAUAAGGGAAGAAUGGAUGAAAUGAAUAAAUUAGUCAAAAUAAAGUAUUUGGAGAAUAGGGUAAAAAUAAUAAUAAUAUAAAGAAUAAUUAUUUAAUUUAAAAAAUUAAUAUUAAUAAUAAUAUAAUUUUUAGUAUAAGACAAGCUCCAAAUAAGUUUUUCUGACUCUAAUGUAAUUAGGUCAGUAGUUAGUAACAUAAGUCGCUCGACUGGAAGUCCAAUGAAAACUAAUAGUCUUAGUAAAAUAGGUGAUCUUGAAACGUUAGAUAAAGAACAGUCCCUCGGCUGGAGAGUAAGGGUUCAGAGAUUGAGAUAGGGAAUAAUACGAUAAUUACUGAAUGUUCAGAAAACCAAGUCGUAGACAAUUCUCAAGAAAUCAAUAUAAAUACAAACCGAGAGGUAUUGGAAUUAAAAAACCGGAAUCAAGGGACAGCUGAAGGCCAAGAUAUGGUAUCCCCACCGGAGGAAAAAGAGGAAACUAGUCAAUGGAACAGAAUACAUAUUUUGAAAAAACAGCAAAAAUAUAAUAGGUAUAAUAGAAGCAAUGUAGGACCUUACAUUGUUUUUAUAGAAUCAUCUGUGGAAAUGGAGAACUUAGGAAAUUUGCAUCCAAUAUCUAUUAGAAAAAAGUUAUUUGAAAUUGGAUUAAAGAACGUCAAAGGAAUUAGGAAAAUAGGAAAAAAAAUAAUUGAAGUAAAAUUUUAUGAUUUUAGUGAAGCCAACAAUUGUGUAACAAACAAGGAAUUUGAGAACUGGAAUUAGAUUGCGUAUAUUCCUGACUAUAAAGUAAUUAGAUUGCGUAUAUUCCUGACUAUAAAGUAAUUAGAUAUGGAGUUAUAAAGGGGAUCCAUCAGGAUUUUUCAAUGGAGGAAAUUCGAGAAGCUAUUAAUUUUCCAUACGAGGAAAUCGAAAUUAGAGGCAUAGAGAGAAUGAAAUACUGAAAUAGAUCGGACGAGAGACUCUGCGACUCUUCCAAUAUCAGGGUGGAAUUCUGCACAAAUUUACUUCCGGAGGUAGCGAAUAUUUACUGGGUGAGGUUUAGGGUCUUUCCUUACGUUAAGAGAGUUAAAAAAUGUAUUAAAUGUUUGAGAUGGGGUCAUUUGAGUUUCAACUGUAGAGAUGAAAACAGAAACGAAAUAAGAAAAGACAACGGUAUCCCUGAAGAAGAUAAGAUCGAAUGCGCCAAUUGCGCAGGUAACCACAAAACGUCUGACACGAGGUGUCCGAGUUUUAAAAAACAUAAACUAAUAAACUUAGUAAUGGCCUAUUGUAACAUAGGCUAAUUAGCGGCUAGAAGGUUUAUUCGAAACAGAAAAAUAAAUGAUAUUAUUGAAGUGGAAAAACAUUGAAAGGCGAUGGCCUAUUUGGGAUGGAAACGAGUAAAUCACGCACCGCAUAAAGGUGGGCUGGUUACUGGAACUAGAAACAACAGGGAGAGACUCUUAAAUAAAAACAGAAAUAGUGGAUGGUCCCGUGGUCAUUUAGGUAGUAGUGAUCCGGGCAUAGUCGCUUCAGAUUAUGGGGAAAAACCUAUUAAGACCAGAUCUCAAAAUAUUAGAAGGGAAAAUUUCCUAAACCAAGAUAACCAUAAGGUUUCCGAGACCCCAUUUUCGAUAGACGAAUCGGUUAUAUCUACUCCAACAAUAGAAGAUAAAUUACGUAAAAAGACUGACUUCCAGACAAAAAAUAUAAUAGAAAUAAAAACGUUUGAUAAUAGGGAACCGAUGGCGGGCCCCAGUAAUAGGAAGGAACAAACAAAUGAUCAGAUACUGAACAACGAUAAAAAAUUAUUAAGUGAAAUAGAUAAGAAAUUCCAAUCCAAAGAAAACGUAAUAUUAAAUCUAAUAAAAAUGUUAGUAACGGAAGAACCUAUACAAAAUAAGAGUAAAUGCAUUGUUGAAUACCUAAAGGUAAUAAAUGAAAAAUUACAGGAGGAUCAAGCCCAAGCCCAAAAUUAUUCAUUUCUAAAUUUAUAAUAAUAUAAGAAAAAGAGGUUACUUUUAACGGUAAAAGGAAAAAGAAUAAUAAAAAGAAAUAAGUCUCUUCUCUCACAACUCCCAUUUUUUCUUAGAACAAUGAAACCGGUUAAAAUCUUUCAAUGGAAUUGUAGAGGAAUUAAAAAUAAAUACUUAGAAUUGAGAAACUUAAUGAAUGAUUAUGAUCUAAUGUGUUUGCAAGAGACUUGGUUGCAUGUAGUAGAUCAGGUUAAUUUCACAAAUUGUAGAACUUUCAGAAGCGAUAGACCCCAAAAUAUUAUGGGCGGCGGUGUCGCUAUUGUUUGUAAGGAUAAUCUGGAUCCAAUCUCUCAAAAUAUUUUAAAUCUUUCGAAUCCAAUGGGAAUCGAAGCAUUGUGCAUAUCAAUUAACGUAAGACAAAACGUAAAUAAUAAGAAAAGAUUUAAUAUUUUAUCAAUAUAUAAACCACCGGACAUUAGAGUUAACAAAUGUGGGAGGAAUUUUUCUACAAAUUAAAACAAAAAAAUUUAUUAAAUGAUACGAUAAUUUGCGGAGAUUUCAAUGCACAACACCAUACUUGGGGAUCUUCCAGGAUCGAUCCCGCUGGGGGUUCAUUAAGUAAAGCGAUAAGUGACUCGGAGCUUUAUAUCCUAAAUGACGGAUCGACCACAAGAGUUUCUGUUAAACCAAGGAUUCCUGUGAGUUCAGAAAAGCAUAAUGCACCGGAACAGUACGUUAGCGUCCCAGAUUUAACAUUAUCAAGUAUAAGAAACAGAGUCAUUGGGUGGAAAACCUACAAAGAACCUCUGGGCAGUGACCACUUUCCAAUAAUCAUAGAAAUAAUGAUGAAGGAUAAAAGCAGACUUAUUGAUUGUCAGCCAAUCUACUCAAAAAUACGUAGAGAAAAAAUUAAUUUUAGUAAUUUUGAAACGGUAAUAUUUAACAAGAUCUGGGAAGAGAAAUUAAAAAACUCUGACAUUAACAACAGACAGGUUAAUGGAGCCCAAUUGUAUAAUUGGUGGUAUAGCUUCACUAUGGACGCUAUAGUACUGGCGGGUGGCAUCAUAGAUGAUGGAAAAGGAAGCAUAAAAAUGAAAGACAAUAAGACAGGAGACAUUAAAGUUAUUGUUAAAGGUAUAAAUGGUGAUAUGAAUAAAUCAAGGCUCGUCAAAACAAAGAAAAAUAUUAACAAACCUUGGUGGGAUGAUGAGUGCCAUAGGACAGUAGAAGCAAGGAAGAAUUCCUUCAAAGACUUUUUAAAGAACCCAACUAGAGAAAAUCUUUAUAAUUAUAGAGUAAGUUCAGUAGAAACUAAAAAGAUUAUAAAGACCAGAAAAAGAGAAAACUUUCGCUCCUUUGUAAACAAAAUAUCCAGAGUCCCCGGUUCUAGGAAGUUUUGGGAUAGUAUUAAAAAAUUAAAAAAAAACCCCUUAUUCCAAGCACCUGUUAAUACCAUUAUAAGCAAAGACACUUAUAGAGAAAUUUUUUAACAGAUAUAUCCCAGACUGGGUCUGUGAAAUUCUAGAGGAACCAAAAGAUAGCUCCUAUGGUAAAAACUUUGCUAACUAUUUUAAUUGAAUUUAAAACGAAAGAAGUAUGUGACAUUAUUUUACAAGGGAAACUGAAUGGUAGUCCGGGACACGACUUAAUUAGCUACAAAAUACUAAGAUGUAUGCCCUGGUCGACGAUCGAAAUACUAAAAGAAAGUUAUAAUAAAAUGUUAUCCGAUGGCUCCUUCCUGGAAAGUUGGAAACAAUGUAUCACCGUCUUGAUUCCGAAGAGUGGGAAAAAUGACUUUAGACCUAUUACCCUGGAAUCCUGUACUCUGAAAAUCUUCGAAAAAUUAAUUAAAGUGAGGCUUGAGAGAUUUAUAGAAUUGGAUGUUGUGAUUCCUAGAUGUCAAUACGGAUUCCGCAAAAGUAAAUCAUGUGAUAACUACCUUGCAUUAAUGAACAUUGAAAUAUGCAGAUCUUUUAUGGAAAGAAAAGUCACAGGGAGGGGCUUUCUUGGACAUUAAGGCGGCCUACGAUAAUAUUAAUCCCAGAAUCCUCUAUGAUAAAUUAAAUAAUUUGAGAAUACCAAUGAAAUAUAAAAAAUUUUUAAAAUGGUUCUUAGAAACAAGAACUACAACGAUAUUUGAAAAUGGAUGUUAUAGAGGUACGAGGAGUGUUCAAAGGAGAGUCCCCCAGGGUUCGGUGUUGAGUCCCCUCCUUUUUAAUAUAUGUUUCUGAGAUUCUUAAUGGUAUACCUCAUAACUGUAAAGUUUUGCAAUUUGCCGAUGAUAUUGCAUUCCUCGUCUCGGAUAACGAUAUGGAUAAAAUUAAAAGUACUCUUCGAUAGAUCUUAUGACUGGCUGGAAUCACUGAGUCUUGAAAACUCGAUUACAAAAACACAACUGUACUUUUUCCAUAGAAAGAAAAAAUUUCUUACUCCCAACAUACUGCAAGUUUGUAACGGUUCCAUAAUAGUUUCAAAUAACAUUAAAUAUUUAGGAAUGACAUUUGACAGCGAACUAAGAUGGUAUAAUCACAUCAAGUCUAUUAGAAAUAGAACAUAUUGUUUUGUAAAUAUACUCAAAUGGAUUACAGGUAGGAACUGGGGUAUUAGCCUAAAGGCUGGAUUUGAUUUCAUAAAUGCCACCAUUAGAGCACAAAUAAGUUGGGGAGCACCAUGGUAUAAUAGUGGGGGAAAAUCAUACCUGGGCCUCAUUGAUAGAAUAUUAAUUUCGGCUUAUAAAAGAGUAUUAGAUCUACCAAAAAUGACAUCAAAUAAGGUGGCUUAGUUGAUUUCCAAGCAAAAAACAUCAGCUAGAAUUGUGGCAUCAGCAAGUGAUAAAUUAAUACUAAAAGCCUACCAAUUGAAAAACAUGGAAUUAACUAAUAAAUUUAAUAAUUUAGAAAAAUUUUGCAGUGAGAAAAAAAUAGCUAUUGGUAAUGUCUCAUAUAUAUUGGAUAGAUGGAGGAUGGUCAGGCACUUUCUCCCUCAUUUGUACAAGUGGAAGGUUCACCCUACUUUUGCAUAUCCUUUGGGCAAAGAAAUAGAGGAAAUUUCUUGAGAUUUUAAGACGGGAGUCGAUGCGAAGGCUACAGGGUCUUUUGUCAAUGAAACAUUCCAUAGUAAAAAUUCAUUAAAUAAAACCGACCCGAAUGAAAUCACUAUCUUUACGGACGGAUCAAAAUUUGGCGGACAAGAAAUAAGCGAACUCGAUAGAAGGGUUAAUUUACCCAUAGAGAGGGAAUUCUUCGGGAAAGUGAGUUGUGCAGUUUUUGGCCCGGAUAGGAGUAUGGGUCUGACUUUCAAAUUAAAUCCUCUAACAUCCUCAUUCAACGUGGAAGCUAUAGCCAUUACAAAAGCAUUGGAAUUAGCAUCGGAAUUGGGAUGGACACACAUCAAUGUGUGCACAGAAAGUACAAUCAAGGCAUUGGAAGCAUGCGAGAAGGGAAGGUAUAGGGGGCACAUUAGAUUUCUGAGUAAUAUAGUGAGGGACUUAUAUAACGCUAUUGUGAAUUUUAUUUCUAAAAAGAAAUUAAACAUUAGAUUUACAUGGUGUCCUGCGCACUCAGGGUUGUUAGGUAACGAGGAGGCAGAUCGACUAGCAAAAACUGGGGCAGGAACCUAUCUGCCGAAUAAGGUGUCAUUUAAAGAAUGUAUUGAUAGUCUCAGAAAUGAAUACGACAAGAUAGAUUCUCAACAUAUCGAUCAGAUUAGUCCUAAUACCGGUAAUUACUUUUUAAAUAAUUUCAGGGAAUUCAGCUAUAAAACAAUUUAUAAGUGCAAAUGUAAGAAAAAUUUAUGUGGAACUUACUUUAGAAUUAUAACAAGCACUGCAUUCACAAAUAAACUAAAAAAUAAAAUUGGUCUUGCAGAAUCCGCAAAAUGCAGCUGCAACCAUGAAGUACAGGAUAUCAAUCAUAUCUUCUGGGCAUGUCCGUUAUUAGAAGACAAAAGAAAGGAAUUAAUGAAGAAAUUAAGAGGGCUUAAAAUCCAAGAACCAUACUCGGUGGAAUAUAUAAUGAAUAUCUUAGAUGAGAAAAUUGUUAAAUUUCUUAAUAAAUUUAUACAGGAAAUUCUCAAAAUAUUUCAAAUCUAAUGUGGAACUAAUUUAUUAUGGGAGAGGCCACUUGUAUUCCCAGAUCCUGGGGUGGGGAAAGAAGAGGGAUUUUCCAUUGAAAGAGAUGGACAUCAAAAAACCCAGAAA